UACGGAGGGAGCAAGCGUUGUUCGGAUUUACUGGGCGUAAAGGGCGCGUAGGCGGCACUGCAAGUCAGUUGUGAAAUCUCCGGGCUUAACCCGGAAAGGUCAACUGAUACUGCAGGGCUAGAGUGCAGAAGGGGCAACUGGAAUUCUCGGUGUAGCGGUGAAAUGCGUAGAUAUCGAGAGGAACACCUGCGGCGAAGGCGGGUUGCUGGGCUGACACUGACGCUGAGGCGCGAAAGCCAGGGGAGCGAACGGG
rnacentral:rRNA from 1 species